rnacentral:miRNA from 2 species
UUCCCUCCUACGGCUCUCUGCA